GGGAUUAAGGUGUAGUAGUUGUUGCUGUUGUAGUAUUCUAAAGGUUACAUACGGGUUGAUUUAUUAGAUGGUCACUCAACUAAUAUUAUUAUCUGAGAAAGUCACCUUUAUUGUUGAUUCUAACUUAUUUCAACAAACAAAGUGACUUUCUGAGAUAACAACUAUUAAUUGAGUGACCAUUUGAACAAUCAACUUGAUGACAUAUUU
rnacentral:misc_RNA from 1 species